ACAACUUUCAACAACGGAUCUCUUGGCUCUCGCAUCGAUGAAGAACGCAGCGAAAUGCGAUAAGUAAUGUGAGUUGCAGAGUUCAGUGAAUCAUCGAAUCUUUGAACGCACCUUGCGCUCCUUGGCAUUCCAAGGAGCAUGCCUGUUUGAGUGUCAUUAAA
rnacentral:rRNA from 1 species